ensembl:lncRNA
UGUAUUAUGUAUAGUUUACUAGUAUUAUGUGGGUAUGUAUUAUGUAUAGUUUACUAGUAUUAUGUGGGUAUGUAUUAUGUAUAGUUUACUAGUAUUAUGUAUGUAUGUAUUAUGUAAACUAUACAUAAUACAUACAUAAUACUAGUAAACUAUACAUAAUACAUACAUACACAAUACUAGUAAACUACAUGUAAUAUAUACAUAAUACUAGUAAACUACACGUAAUACAUACAUAACACUAGUAAACUACACGUAAUACAUACAUAAUACUAGUAAACUAUACGUAAUACAUACAUAAUACUAGUAAACUAUACGUAAUACAUACAUAAUACUAGUAAACUAUACGUAAUACAUACAUAAUACUAGUAAACUACACGUAAUACAUACAUAAUACUAGUAAACUAUACAUAAUACAUACAUACAUAAUACUAGUAAACUAUACGUAAUACAUACAUAAUACUAGUAAACUACACGUAAUACAUACAUAAUACUAGUAAACUAUACAUAAUACAUACAUACAUAAUACUAGUAAACUAUACGUAAUACAUACAUAAUACUAGUAAACUAUACGUAAUACAUACAUAAUACUAGUAAACUACACGUAAUACAUACAUAAUACUAGUAAACUAUACAUAAUACAUACAUACAUAAUACUAGUAAACUAUACGUAAUACAUACAUAAUACUAGUAAACUAUACGUAAUACAUACAUAAUACUAGUAAACUACACGUAAUACAUACAUAACACUAGUAAACUAUACAUAAUACAUACAUAACACUAGUAAACUAUACAUAAUACAUACAUAAUACUAGUAAACUAUACAUAAUACAUACAUAAUACUAGUAAACUAUACAUAAUACAUGGAGAUUUCUGUUGUUAUCAGACUGGAGUCACUUCACUUCUUUCCUCCCUCCGUCCUUCAACCCACGUUACCUUCUACGUUCACUGCCAUCUUCAUGCUGGUGUGUGUGUGUGUGUGUGUGUGUGUGUGUGUGUGUGUGUGUGUUGGUAAGUGAGAGAGAGAGAAGCCCAUCUGGUGUCGUAAACUGUCUGCCUCUCUUACUGAGUGGGAUUAUCUUACUCUAAAAGGCUUCAUCAAUCAUAUCAGCUACUCUGUGUGUGUGUGUGUGUGUCUGUGUGUGUGUGUAUGCGUGUGCGUGUGUAAUGUGAAAAGGUCUGAAAGGAUGAUGAUGUUUAACACCAUUUGAAUUACACCCAUCAGCAUCAGCGGUAACCCCGGCAACAGCCUCAUUCUGUACUUGUGUUUCUUUGGUAGCCGUGGUUACGGUUCUGCAGGAGUACUACAGUAUCUGUCUGUGAUAUCAGCUCCAUAGCAGUUUUAUGGUGGUAACAACUAUGCAAGACUGCUACAGUUUGUACUACAGUGGUAUCCAUGGCAACCUUGACUGGGCCGACUGGGGGGGUUAGUGGUUUGUCUCUCUGUCCACUACGAGCUCCACGUGCGCGCACACACGCACAUUGGCACAGAUGCACGGGGUUUGUUUUGGCGCUACGGCUCAUUUCCCCUGAUAGACGCCGAGGGGGAAACGCCGCUCGGUGAUAUUACAGGAAUCAACUCCAUAACAGUAACACCUGCAGGGUUAUGACAUCACAGUCUCCUCCUGCAGCAGCUGUGCUUUCUUUGUUAUCUUUGUUAUUCUUCUUAAAAAACACAGUUGUGUAGUUAAAUACACGUUUAUAGUUGGCUGGGAGUUUAAUAGGGCUUCAAUGGUAGCAUACUUUAAAAAUACUUAAUUUAAAGUAGUUAUUGAAAUUAACUAAGAACUGUCAUAUCAUUUUAUUUUGUGCAAAUAAUUCAUCAAGUCAACAAACCCGACCUGCAGCCAAAAGUUCUGCACUAAUGUUUCUGUGAAAUAAUCCGUGACACGGUGACGCAGACGGAAGUAUUUAUAGUCUCGCCGAUAGCAGAUUAAUGUGCAUCCUGUGUGAGGGGGAAAGAGAAGCUGGAAUACCUGAAGGGUGUGUGUGUGUGUGUGUGUGUGUGUGUGUGUGUGUGUGUAAAAUGAAUGACUGAGAAGGAGGGAAACGAGAGUUAAAGCAAAAAGAGGAGUGGAAGGAGAGGAGGCUGAAUUAGAGGUGGGGGG